rnacentral:rRNA from 1 species
AUUGAACGCUGGCGGCAGGCCUAACACAUGCAAGUCGAACGAGUGGCGGACGGGAGAGUAAUGUCUGGGAAACUGCCCGAUGGAGGGGGAUAACUACUGGAAACGGUAGCUAAUACCGCAUCCCAUAGGAUGUGCCCAGAUGGGAUUUGCUAGUAGGUGGGGUAAUGGCUCACCUAGGCGACGAUCCCUAGCUGGUCUGAGAGGAUGACCAGCCCCUCUGAAACUGAGACACGGUCGAGACUCCGACGGGAGGCAGCAGUGGGGAAUAUUGCACAAUGGGCGCAAGCCUGAUGCAGCCAUGCCGCGUGUAUGAAGAAGGCCUUCGGGUUGUAAAGUACUUUCAGCGGGGAGGCGUUACCCGCAGAAGAAGCACCGGCUAACUCCGUGCCAGCAGCCGCGGUAAUUC